rnacentral:snRNA from 1 species
CCAGCUCUCUUUGCCUUUUGGCUUAGAUCAAGUGUAGUAUCUGUUCUUUUCAGUUUAAU